rnacentral:rRNA from 1 species
UACGUAGGGUGCGAGCGUUAAUCGGAAUUACUGGGCGUAAAGCGAGCGCAGGCGGCGAUUCAAGUCAGAGGUGAAAGCCCGGGGCUCAACCUCGGAACUGCCUUUGAAACUAGAUUGCUAGAAUCCUGGAGAGGUGAGUGGAAUUCCGAGUGUAGAGGUGAAAUUCGUAGAUAUUCGGAAGAACACCAGUGGCGAAGGCGACUCACUGGACAGGUAUUGACGCUGAGGUGCGAAAGCGUGGGGAGCAAACAGG